UGGGAACGUACCCUUUGGUUCGGGACAACUCCGGGAAACUGGAGCUAAUACCGGAUACGCCCUUCGGGGGAAAGAUUUAUUGCCAAAGGAUCGGCCCGCGUCUGAUUAGCUAGUUGGUAGGGUAAUGGCCUACCAAGGCGACGAUCAGUAGCUGGUCUGAGAGGAUGAUCAGCCACACUGGGACUGAGACACGGCCCAGACUCCUACGGGAGGCAG
rnacentral:rRNA from 1 species